rfam:Schistosoma margrebowiei strain Zambia genome assembly, scaffold: SMRZ_contig0003370
GCGUUGCUGAGGAGUCCCAUACUAGGACGAAACGGCCGUUCAUUGC